AAUAGAUACCCUCGGUAGUCCACGCCGUAAACGACUCGAGUGCUAAGUGUUACGAGGGUUCCGCCCUUUAGUGGCUGCAGCUAACGCAUUAAGCACUCCGCCUGGGGGAGUACGGUCGCAAGACUGAAACUCAAAGGAAUUGACGGGGGCCCGCACAAGCGGUGGAGCAUGUGGUUUAAUUCGAAGCAACGCGAAGAACCUUACCAGGUCUUGACAUCCUCUGACAACUCUAGAGAUAGAGCGUUCCCCUUCGGGGGACAGAGUGACAGAUGGUGCAUGGUUGUCGUCAGCUCGUGUCGUGAGAUGUUGGGUUAAGUCCCGCAACGAGCGCAACCCUUGAUCUUAGUUGCCAGCAUUUAGUUGGGCACUCUAAGGUGACUGCCGGUGACAAACCGGAGGAAGGUGGGGAUGACGUCAAAUCAUCAUGCCCCUUAUGACCUGGGCUACACACGUGCUACAAUGGAUGGUACAAAGGGCUGCAAGACCGCGAGGUCAAGCCAAUCCCAUAAAACCAUUCUCAGUUCGGAUUGGU
rnacentral:rRNA from 1 species